GGCUUAUUGGAAAUAAAUAAUAGGUCUAUUCUGCCCAUUGAUUUAUUUUAAAAGGCUGCAGUAUACUGACUGUACAAAGGUAGCAAAAUCAUUUGUUUUUUAAUUGAAAACUGGAAUGAAAGAGUGGAUGAAAUAUAAAUUGUCUCAAUAUAAUAUAUUGAAUUUAAAUUAAAAGUUAAAAUGCUUUUAUAUAUUUAUAAGACGAUAAGACCCUAUAGAAUUUAAUAAAAUUUAUUUAUUAAAAUUAUUAUUUUUGAUGAAAUUUAAUAAAUGAUUAUAUUUUAUUGGGAGGAUAGUUAAAUUAGUUAAACUUUAAUAGUUAAUAAACAUUGAUGAAUGAAUUAUUUGAUUAUUAUUAUAAUUAUUAGAAUAAAUUACCUUAGGGAUAACAGCGUUAUAAUUUUGGAGAGUUCAUAUUGAUAAAAUUGUUUGCGACCUCGAUGUUGAAUUAUGAUAAAAAUUAAAUGGAGAAAUUUAAAUUUUUAGUCUGUUCGACUAUUAAAAUCAUACA
rnacentral:rRNA from 1 species